ACGACCUUACUUGAACAGGAUCUGUUCUAUUGGCUUGUACCUCUGCAUCCUUGAUUACUAAGGAGACAGGAACCUAAGUCUGGUGGAUGAACCAUGACUGUGUGACCGGAGUGUGAUUAAAAGCGCCGUGGUCCAUACCAUCGGUGCAGUAGAGGAUCAUUCUCAGCUAGUUCCAUCUCGCUGGGGUGGUCACACAGUCAUCUGACAGACU